GCCCACAUAGCUCAGGUGGUAGAGCGUCGCCUUGGUAAGGCGAAGGUCUCCGGUUCAAAUCCGGAUGUGGGCUCCA
rnacentral:tRNA from 1 species